GAUGAAGAACGUAGUGAAAUGCGAUACGUAGUGUGAAUUGCAGAAUUCAGUGAAUCAUCGAAUCUUUGAACGCACAUUGCGCCCUUUGGUAUUCCAAAGGGCAUGCCUGUUCGAGCGUCAUUUGUACCCUCAAGCUUUGCUUGGUGUUGGGCGUCUUGUCUCCAGUCCGCUGGAGACUCGCCUUAAAGUCAUUGGCAGCCGGCCUACUGGUUUCGGAGCGCAGCACAAGUCGCACUCUUUUCCAGCCAAGGUCAGCGUCCAACAAGCCUUUUUUCAACUUUUGACCUCGGAUCAGGUAGGGAUACCCGCUGAACUUAAGCAUAUCAAUAAGCGGAGGA
rnacentral:misc_RNA from 1 species